AGUGGUUCUCCAGUGACACACCCCGGAACCAGGCUCCCUCCUCUCUGGUUACGGGCAUGUCACCCGAGAACCGCA
rfam:Myotis davidii contig319641, whole genome shotgun sequence.